rnacentral:rRNA from 1 species
AGCUCCAAUAGCGUAUAUUAAAGUUGUUGCAGUUAAAAAGCUCGUAGUUGGAUCUCGGGUCGGGGCUGGCGGUCCCGUUCGCGCGGGUACUGCCUGUUCCCCACCUACCUGCCGGCACGUCCCUCGGUGCUCUUCGCUGAGUGCCCCGGGUGGCCGGCGCGUUUACUUUGAAAAAAUUAGAGUGUUCAAAGCAGGCCGCCGCGCCUGAAUACCGAUGCAUGGAAUAAUGGAAUAGGACCUCGGACUUCUAUUUUGCUGGUUUCUGGAUCUCGAGGUAAUGAUUAAGAGGGACGGCCGGGGGCGUCAGUAUUACGGUGUUAGAGGUGAAAUUCUUGGAUCGCCGUAAGACUCGCGGUUGCGAAAGCGUUCGCCAAGAAUGUUAUCA